CCUACGGGUGGCAGCAGUGAGGAAUAUUGGUCAAUGGACGCAAGUCUGAACCAGCCAUGCCGCGUGCAGGAUGACGGCUCUAUGAGUUGUAAACUGCUUUUGUACGAGGGUAAACCCCGAUACGUGUAUCGGGUUGAAAGUAUCGUACGAAUAAGGAUCGGCUAACUCCGUGCCAGCAGCCGCGGUAAUACGGAGGAUCCGAGCGUUAUCCGGAUUUAUUGGGUUUAAAGGGUGCGUAGGCGGUUUGAUAAGUUAGAGGUGAAAUGUCGGGGCUCAACCCCGAAACUGCCAUUAAUACUGGCGGACUAGAGAAUAGUUGCGGUAGGCGGAAUGUGUGGUGUAGCGGUGAAAUGCGUAGAUAUCAGGAAGAACACCGGUGGUGAAGGCAGCCUGCUAGACUGCAACUGACGUUGAGGCCCGAAAGCGUGGGGAGCAAACAGGAUUAGAUACCCCUGUAGUC
rnacentral:rRNA from 1 species